AUUGAACGCUGGCGGCAGGCUUAACACAUGCAAGUCGCGCGAGCGGCGGACGGGUGCGUCAUAUCUGGGACACUGCCUGCUGGCGGUGGAUCACUGCUGGCAACGGUAGCUAAUACCGCAUACCAUCAUAUGUGCCCAGAUGGGAUUAGCUAGGAGGGGGGGUAAUGUCUCAUCUAGGCGACGCUCCCUAGCUGGUCUGAGAGGAUGACCAGCCACAUGGGACUUGAGACACGGCCCAGAUUCCGACGGGAGGCAGCAGUGGGGAAUAUUGCACAAUGGGCGAAAGCCUGAUGCAGCCAGGCCGCGUGUGUGAAGAAGGUCGUCGGGUUGUAAAGCACUUUCAGCGAGGAGGCGUUACUCGCAGAAGAAGGACCGGCUAACGCCGUGCCAGCAGCCGCGGUAAUUC
rnacentral:rRNA from 1 species